UCGAACUCAUUUCCACCGGCUCAGUGUA
rnacentral:sRNA from 1 species